UCUCUCAACACUUGGGCAGAUGAGUCACCAACAGGGGGCGGUGUUUAUCCUCUCAGUGUCAGCUAAGUCAAUAAUGAGCAGUUACAACAUUUCUGCUGCUGAUGAACUCAUCAUCAAAACUUUAAACCGACAACCUUCUGAUGCCAAAGUGAAUCCUGAGUCCUGACUCAAUUCUACUGCAUCUAAUAUCACAGGGAGCUGGGGACUGUGGACUGGAACAACCCUGUGGACCCACUCCAGGUUGUGGAAACGAAGCUGCCGGACCGGUACAACCCUGCCGUUGUGGAACUGAACCCGCCAGACCGGUACAACUCUGCCGUUGUGGAACCGAACCCGCCAGAAGGGGGCAAAAGUUUUUUUUUUGGGUUGUGGAACCAGACCGGACCAGACCGGUACAAGC